CACUCAAGCUGAGACUGAUACAGAAUCAUAUACUUCAAAAAAAAAUUCUAUAACUGGAGUGUCUUCAAAAUGAAAUUCCCAGUUUAGGGGGGAAAUUAUUAUUAUCAAUUUUCUUUACAAUCAUCAUCAUGUUGGUGAUAGCAAGAUGUGCCACUUUCCAUGGUAACCGGUAAAAACCGUCUUUUUGAAUAGCCACUUCAUUGCUUAAACAAUGAUCUAUAAUAAUCAAUGCAUGCUAUUUGCCAUCCUGGGAAACAGUUUAAUGUUCUAGUAACCCCCCACAACCACCACCCCCCCAGAAAUCAUUUACUAAACAUGCCUCCUGGAAAGCCUUUCGUAAACUUCUCUUGCAGAAAGCAAGAGAGGACAGGGAAUGCUCCAUGCUGAUGUCAUUCACUGGAUACCCUCAAUAUCGUUAGGAAUUCACCUAAUCAUGAAUACCCUUGACAGGCUUUCUUGGCAUUAUACUUUCAUUUUUAUUUUUAUUUAAUAGACAUGUAUUUUGAAGAGCAACGUGUUCUCAGAUAAACACAAACCCUGUUAUAUCUGCUUGCACUUAUAAAGGUAAAGGUAAAUAACCAACCCCUGGACGGUUAAGUCCAGUCAAAGGGGACUAUGGGGUGCGGUGCUCAUCUCACUUCAGGCCAAGGGAGCCGGGGUUUCUCCACAGACAGCUUUCUGGUUCAUGUGGCUAGCAUGACUAAACAGCUUCUGGCGCAACAGAACAUUGGUACCUAUUUCGGCCACGACUGGACCUAAUGGUCAGGGGUCCCUUUACCUUUACUAGUCCUCUUUACUGCCAAACUGCACUAAGCUAAGUCAAGAUUUGGUUUGGCAUGUUGUCAAAACUGGGACCUGUGGUGGUUAUGCUCUCUCCUCACCCAACAUGAGCUGUAGGUGAGAAAGAACCUUGGUGACAGCUUGAGAGACCUCAACCAGGAGUCCCAGUUUUACCUAAACCUUGACUUAGCCUUAGCAUAGCAUGGUGCAGCUACAAAAAGGACCAAGAGGAGCAAAGCAGCUGUAAGCUCCUCUCCAGAAGUUCAUACGUUCACAUGGUCUCACUACGCCACUAAGGUUUGGUUUACUGUGUUGUGCAAACUAGGCCUACAUCAAAUGAAGUCUUUACUGGCCCCUAAUGUUUUUAAUUCAUGCAGAAAAUGUGUUCGUACAUCUUCAUGCCCCUUUCCAAGUGCCUUGCUUGACUGCUGGCAGUCUUAGCCAUUAGCAACAUACUGUGUUUCCUUUUUCACCCCAGAUAUGUCAGAUAAACGCCACCUUCCAAAGGUGAAGUGAAAGUGAAAUUCUUAAUGAAUUUUUAAUUUUUAAACCAGUUCCCUUGUACAAAGGAGUCCCCUUGGAUUUCACAAGCAAUAUCUUGGCAAGGUUUGUUAUUUGUAAAAAUUAUCCAAGGGAACACAUUACUGAGUCUCUUGAGCACAAAACACUAAUAUCUAAUUUUAAAGCACAUUUUUGCAAAAUGUUAAUUAGGCCAUUUACAAAAAUACACUAUUAAAUUUCCAUUAAAGAUUUUUUUUAGGGCGGGAGAGCUGCUCAGCCUUGAAUGUAUUAUAUUGGCCAAUAUUUCCUUCCUGGGAAAGUGAUUUGUAAGGUGAAUGACUCCUUUUCCCUCACCAGUAAAGAUCACUGUAUCCCUUUUCAGGUCUAAAAAGGGAGAAAUAAAUGUUCCUCUUGCUCCCCAAAGAUGGCUUAAUUAGUUUAUACCUUCAAUUUAAUGACCAGUGUACAUAAUUUAAAGUGCAAAUUGAGUUUAUCUUCAUCUACUGCUCUUUGACAUUUAAUGUAUUACGUAUUAGAUUAUAAACUGGGUGAUGACUCAGUUGUUGCACCCCAUAUUAUGUGGACACCAGUGGAGAAUAAAGAAUUCUGAAUGGAGUGAAAUGUUUGGGGGGGGGGAUGUGAAUUGUGAAAUAUUCCCUAUCCCUACCUCCAAAGAAGCUCAACUGUGCCUUUUAAAUCACUCCCUCCAUGGCUUCUUCGUAGGCAUCACAGUCAUAGCAGAAAUGAGUUGUAGUACAGAAUCCUUGGGCAAUGUGACAGCUUUUCCCAUGCUGUGCUAUAGUGCCAAUUUUAUUGUUUUUAGUUUUCUGCCAUUUUGGAGAGGAGGAGUGAAGACUGUUGCUAAGAGAUGUUGCUCUUGACUGUUCCGUCCUCCCUCCCUGUUGUCAAGAAGGGUUGCAAAGGGUACUCUGGGCUUCUGGACUCAUUGGUCCUUCCUUCUUUUUCCUUCCCUCUCCAUUAUCGGAGACACCAGGUCCCUUUAAUUUUUAAAGGGCAGAAUUUGUGAUUAUUCAGAGAUGUAAUGAAAUCAGAACAGAGGUAUGAGAGGUGUUGGGUGAUGGCUGUUUUUUGGGUGGGCUUUCUUCUUUUUUUAAAAAAUAACAGGGUCAUUUGGAAAAGUUGGGUUCCCAGCCAGGCAAUAACUGGAAGUGUGCAGCUCAGCAGUUGAAAACUCUAAUGAAAAACUGGCCAUGGAAGUAGCAUGGAAAGAAGGGGAGGAGGUGGGAAGAGACUGCCUCUUGCUGCAGAAUUCAUGGAAACUUUGAAGAAUGCUGUUCACGAGCCCUUCCAAAAUCAGUUCAUUAAGCAGGCCAAAUGUCCCUUUGGAUUUUCCAUGCAUCUGGCAAGACCAGAUUUUCGCCAAAAAAAAGCCAUGGAACUACGUGAAUAGCUCUCAGACAUGGAGAAUCAAAAGGUGCAGAAAGCGAAAGUAUGGCUGGGUCCUUACGCUGACUCAUAAGUUCAGGCUGUGAGAUAAGACUGUUGGUAUAAGAAAUGAUUAAUUUAUCUAUAAGUCAGUGGAACAUGGGAGUUUGCAGGUGUGUGUGUGUGUGUGUGUGCAUGUUGAAAGUCAAUUGCAACAAUCUGGAAUGACUUCCUCAUUUGGAACAGCCCCAUUUGCCUUUUUGACACCAAUGAUUCAAUCAACUUACCUUUUUAAUUACACCAGCACCUGUUUGUUUCUCCUUAAGGGCAGGACAUUUUCCAUUCUCUGGCACAGACGAGGUGCUGACUAUGUUUAAAAUUAGCUUCCGUCCUCUGUCCUCUUGUGUUUUCUCCAUAAUGAAAUGAUAGCAGCCCUCUUCAAGAGCCAUAACUUGUAUGGUAAAGGAGCACAAAUUGCUAUGCACAGAUUGAAGCUACCAGUAUGCUUUUUUACUUUUCUUCUGUUCCUUUCCUAUCUCCUACUUUCUCUCUGUCUCUGCCUCUUUCUCACACACAUACACACCAGUUACGAUGGGAUAUUUAAAUAUCCUCCCAGUUUCAGAAACUGAGAGAAUAUUAUUUGGUUCCCUUUUAAAGUAUUAACUUUUUUUUUUUUCUAUUUGUCAUAUAUCACCCUCCUUAGCUUUGCUCAAUCAAAUCAUUUGUAAAGAUGGGUCUAAAUUAUGUAUAUUUUUAUGACAGUAAUUUCUGAUACAAGGAUAAAUACCUGUUGCUUUAGCAUCAUCUCUCUUUUUUAUCCACUCCAUUGAUUGUGGUAUUUUUAAGCUACUGCUUAUGUAGAUAAAAAUGAAAUCAUUCAAAUAAAGCUUAUGUAGAGAGCAAUCCUAUUUGUUUUAUUUUAAUUUUUAUUGAGCAAAAUGUAUAUGCCACUUGAUUGUGAGAAAAACUAUAAGAGACUUACAUUUUUUGGUUAAAAAAAUAGUUAAAGCAGCUAUGCAGAAACAUUCAAAAGAUGAUUAAAACCAACAGUAGCUAAGAAGAGAUAAAACACAUGUUGAGCACCCUGAAGCCCAUGAGAUAUUAUCAAGGUAGCUUCACUGAUAGAAAUGGCAGUGGUGGAAAGAUUGCUGAAAGUCCAGCAUAGGGGACACAGAUAGGGUGGUUUGUGGGAGGGGGGUCAGGGUGGGCCAAAGAUGUGCAGGUAUUUGGGCUCCAUUAUAACCUGGACAUAUCCCCAGAGUUAGAAACUACACCAGCCCAAGGACUGGUAAAUUCCAUCUCUUUGGAAGCAGUGGCGGCGGUGGCAGGGGGAACUGCCCCCCUCUGUCUUGCACUGGCUGGCAUGAAGCAGCAGAGCUUAGGCAAUGGUAGUAAUUUUGCCCUGUAUCUCACCCUGCCCCGAUGCACAUAUGUGCUUACACACUGGUAGGAUUGCUCUGGAAAUGUUUGCACAAAAUGCAACGUCUAGGGGUGAGUUGGCACACUAUUGUAGAUCCAUUAAGAAGAUGUGCACACUAUGCCCUUAUCUCCAGCCAACAAACGGCUACAAAUGCAGCAUGGUUCAGUUUCAGGACCACAGAGUCACUGCUAACCUUUGGGGCCACCUCCACUCUGCAGUGUCACCUAGUCCUCAUUGCAUCUUCCUUUGCCUUUAUAACCUCUCAAGGGUCAGCUCUCUCUCUAAAUGACAAUAGCUGAUGUCCAACCUGAACUUCUCUUUUAACACAACAGUUUUUGGUUUUUUUUGCUGAGAGACACUUAUUAUUUUUGUGGACUCUUCAUUUAUCACUCUGAUUCUCUCCAUUCCACAACACUUCUCAGAAACCAUAAUUGAUUAGUUCCACCAUUUCCUUAAGAAAAGAUUAUUUGCAGCCACUCAUCUUCAUUGAUGUCACCUUAGAAUAAAGCACUAAUUAAUCUCUGUCUGCCCUGUUAAGUUUUCAACCUAAACCCAUAAAUAAAGACAAUAGUGAUUAAAAUCAUUUGCACUUUAAAUCUCUGGUCCUAUAGAUACAGAGAGUUGCAGUGGAACAGAAAAAAAAUUACCUCUCUGUCUCUUUCUUGCCAGUGUGAGCUAGUGUAGUACAGCACAUGCUUUAUCUUCAUAACAUAGUAGGUUUGAUCCAUAAGAUCGCCAGUCAAAAGGGUCAGAUAGUUGGACGAUGCAAAAGCCCUCUCUGCUUGUGUUCCCCAACAACUGGUAUUUCAAGGUAGUACACAGUCAUCUUGACAAGUGACCAUUGAAACCCUGAUCCUCCAUGAAUUUAUCUCACCCUAUUUUUAGAAAGUUGUCAGAGUCUUUAAAGGUCAGCAGCAAGACGACUAGUGACAAAAAAAGAGCAAAGCUAAGGAGUAUUCCCAUUGUACUUGUCUCCCAUUCAGCAGUGGGGAGCAUGAGAUGGAAUGGGGCAAGAAAUCCCUGUGGUUGUUUUUGGUUGAAUUCUAGGAAACGGGCGGCAAUAAGGAGGACAGGAAUAGUAUGCCCUGAAGCAAAACGAAAGCUUCACCAGUGAGAUAGCACAGAAUAAAGUGCCAGUAGAAGUUUUUGGGCAGCAGCUCUCAAUAUCUUACUUGAUGGAAUAACACCCCUCACCACCAUAUAGGAGUAUUAUUCUCGUGCGGGUGUGAUUUCUGGUUUGUUUUUGCUUUCUGUUCUGUGUUUUGUGGUGACCUCUUGCCACAGCGAAUGUGUGACUUAAACUGUUUGCCUAAGGGCAUUUCUGUAGGAGGGUGGACAGCCCGUUGUCUGAAAGAUCAUAUUCAAAACACUGGAGGAAAGAUAAUGAUUCUGAGAGAAAAAUCAGUCUUCAGUAAUCAAGCAAGGGUUGAAAGGAAUGUAUUAAGAGCAGAUUCAGACAACUGCUAAUGACAUGGUAAAUGCUUAAAAGCUGUCAGUUCUAGGUACCAUCUGUGGAUAUCAAUCAAGAAGUAGGACUUGUAUUGCCAAGGGAACACACAAGAAGCUACUUUAUGUCAAUUCAAGCCAUUGGUCCACCUAGUUCAGUAAUGUCAACACCGACUGGUAACAGCUGUCACGAUAUUUAGCUGGUGAUACAUUGUGAUGUUGAAAACCACAUAUUGCCCAGCCCUAAUCUCCAUUCAUGCAAAUGAAACCCCAGCAAAUGUUAAAAUCCUAACCCCUGUGGAUCAGGCACACAUAAGCAGUCACUGUAUGGGCAUCGUGGAAGGUUCUUAAACUCAGACGUGCAAUCAAAGUAUAUUUUUAGGAUCUUUCACCCAGCGGCAUAGCGUGGGUUGUCAGCACCCGGUGCAAGGCAAGUAAUUUGCGCCCCCUAACCCCUAACCUGCCGCCGCUGCCAGCUUCUUCUUGCUGCUGCCUGGGCUGGUCUCGUGUGGUUCUCUCCCGCGCUCAGCGCUGCGCUGGGCAGCCGCUGCACUGUCCCUCCCCCAGAUAGUCCUUCGCUCUCUCUCCGCACCGCAUGCCUGGCACCCACCCCCUCCACAGUGGGCGGCGACCCAGCGGCUCGGAUCGGAUUCGCACAGCCAGCACUGCAGUGAGAGAGAGUGAGUGAGCCAGGUAGGGACAGAGAGCUGCGAGUGCGAGCGCCCCCCCCCCCGAUGUUGCGCCCGGUGCGGCCGGCACCCCCUGCACCCCCCACGCUACGCCACUGCUUUCACCUCAACUUUGCUAGCAGAUUGCUGAAAACCGAUGCAAAUUUUUCUGAAAACAUGCCAAGAGACUGCUAGUAAAAUAUUUACAACUAACUUUAAGAUGGAAAUAUGUCUUCCUUAUUGAGCUGUAACUUUGCUUUGAAAUAGAUUUGUAGAAGGAACAGAUUUAUUUUAGUACAAAUGUCAAGCUGCUUUUGCUGUACAUUCUCCAGGGGCUAUUUUGUAUUAAUUUUUAUUCAAAAGUGUAAUUCUUUUUUUUAAAAAAAUGAGGGAAAGAAGAGCAGCUAUCUAUCUGUCACUUCUAUAUUGUGCCCUUUUAUUAUGUGCUGUGACAUAUGGACGUUAUUUAUUUUGAGUUAUUUAUUACAAACUGUGUAAUUCAAACAUAUAGGGUACAGUAUUUCAGGCACUAUAUAUGGGCUGCAGUUUAAUGUUUUUCUAAAGAUAUCACCUGGGAAGAUAUCUAUAUCUAUAUGGCAGUUAUUGAAAGUGGUUGGGUAGCAUUUCCAGGGGAGAGAUUAUGGGAGAAAUAUUUAAAAACUCCUGUGCAAUCUGGCUCCCAGAAUCUACCCCCAAACCCCCAGCCAGCCUAACUUCCAGUCUUGGAACCAUGAGGGGGAAAGAAGAGGUGUGUGACUUUGAGGAGAGGUUGUAGAGGAGAAUCGGGACCCUCCAGAUGUGCUUUUUUAUUCUGCAAUCAUGAUCAUUUGUGCACCUAAUGUUAGCCACAUCUGCGCUAUACAUUUGAAGCAGUAUCAUACCACUUUAAACAAUUCAGCCAAAGAAUCCUGGGAACUGUAGUUUGUUAAGGGUGCUGAGAAUUGCCAGGUGUCCCCCAUUCCUCUCAAACAGCUGCAAUUUCCCUGGGAAAAGGUACUGAUUUUUAAACCACCCUAAAAAUCGCAGCUCCGUGAUUUAUUCUUAGCACCUUCUACAAACUACGGUCUCCAAGAUUUUGUAAGGGAAGGCAUGACUGUUUAAAGCGAUAUGCUACUGCUUUAAAUGUUCAGUGUAGGUAUAAACAGCAGAACGUAUCAUUUGAUGUAAUAAACAAGAAAUGGAAGCUGAGGGACGUCAACAGGGAGGGAAGAAUGAAAAACUAAUGUUUAGUAUUGAUAUUGGAUACAGUGGGUGCUCGGGUUGCGAACGUGAUCCGUGCGGGAAGCACGUUUGCAACCCGCAGCAUUCGCAACCCACAGCGCCACAUCUGUGCACACACGGGUCGCGAUUCGGUGCUUCUGCGCAUGCGCAAAGCGCGAUUUAGCACUUCUGCGCAUGCGCGAACACUGAAACCCGGAAGUAACCAUUCCGGUACUUCCAGGUUCGGCACUGUGCGCAACCCGAAAACGCACAACCUGAAGCGUCUGUAACCUGAGGUAUGACUGUAUUUGUUUUG
rnacentral:lncRNA from 1 species